AACAAGGCGUACCUGCGGACCUGCGGAAGGAUCAUUACACAAUACAAUAUGAAGGCUGUCCGCAGCUGGAGUAUUUUAUUACCCUUGUCUUUUGCGCACUUGUUGUUUCCUGGGCGGGUUCGCUCGCCACCAGGACCACCAAAUAAACCUUUUUUAUGCAGUCGCAAUCAGCGUCAGUACAAACAAUGUAAAUCAUUUACAACUUUUAACAACGGAUCU
rnacentral:misc_RNA from 1 species